GACGAACGCUGGCGGCGUGCUUAACACAUGCAAGUCGAACGGUAAGGCUCCAGCUUGCUGGGGUACACGAGUGGCGAACGGGUGAGUAACACGUGGGUGACCUGCCCUGCACUUCGGGAUAAGCCUGGGAAACUGGGUCUAAUACCGGAUAGGACCGCACCGUGAGGGUGUGGUGGAAAGUUUUUUCGGUGUGGGAUGGGCCCGCGGCCUAUCAGCUUGUUGGUGGGGUAAUGGCCUACCAAGGCGGCGACGGGUAGCCGGCCUGAGAGGGUGGACGGCCACAUUGGGACUGAGACACGGCCCAGACUCCUACGGGAGGCAGCAGUGGGGAAUAUUGCACAAUGGGCGGAAGCCUGAUGCAGCGACGCCGCGUGGGGGAUGACGGCCUUCGGGUUGUAAACUCCUUUCACCAGCGACGAAGGGUUUCUGACGGUAGAUGGAGAAGAAGCACCGGCUAACUACGUG
rnacentral:rRNA from 1 species